CCCCUGAUGGUGUAGUUGGUUUAUCACGUCUGACUGUAAUGGUAAUGCAUAAUAUAUUAUAUAUUACGCAUGAUUGUUUAAUAUCAGAAGGUCGCUGGCUCGAUUCCGGCUCGGGGGA
rnacentral:tRNA from 1 species